rnacentral:rRNA from 1 species
GAUCCUGGCUCAGGACGAACGCUGGCGGCGUGCUUAACACAUGCAAGUCGAACGAGUGAAGUUAUGACGGAGGCUUCGGCCGACAGAAUAAUGGAAUAGUGGCGGACGGUGAGUAACGCGUGAGUAACCUGCCUUUCAGAGAGGAAUAACAUCUGGAACGAAUGGUAAUACCACAUAACAUUACGUUCUCGCAUGGGGAUGUAAUCAAAGNUUUAUCGCUGAGAGAUGGACUCGG